GGCGAGAUGGCCGAGCGGUCCAAGGCGUGUGACUCAAGUUGAAAGGAAGCUUGCCUGAAUAUGGGUUUCUCAUCAUCGUAUGAUGGCAGGGGUUCGAAUCCCCUUCUCGUCA